rnacentral:rRNA from 1 species
UACCGAGGUCCCAAGCGUUGUUCGGAUUCACUGGGCGUAAAGGGUGCGUAGGCGGUCGGGUAAGUCGGAUGUGAAAUCUCACAGCUUAACUGUGAAACUGCAUUGGAUACUAUCCGGCUAGAGGAAUGGAGGGGAGACUGGAAUACUUGGUGUAGCAGUGAAAUGCGUAGAUAUCAAGUGGAACACCAGUGGCGAAGGCGAGUCUCUGGACAUUUCCUGACGCUGAGGCACGAAAGCCAGGGGAGCAAACGGG